rnacentral:rRNA from 1 species
UACGUAGGGGGCAAGCGUUGUCCGGAAUCAUUGGGCGUAAAGAGCGUGUAGGCGGCCAGAAAAGUCCGCUGUGAAAACUCGAGGCUCAACUUCGAGCUGUCGGUGGAAACUUUCUGGCUAGAGUCCGGAAGAGGAGAAUGGAAUUCCUGGUGUAGCGGUGAAAUGCGCAGAUAUCAGGAGGAACACCGGUGGCGAAGGCGGGUCUCUGGGCCGAAACUGACGCUGAGGAGCGAAAGCGUGGGGAGCAAACAGG